rnacentral:rRNA from 1 species
UACGUAGGGGGCGAGCGUUGUCCGGAUUCAUUGGGCGUAAAGAGCUCGUAGGCGGGUUCGUAAGUCGGGUGUGAAAACCCCAGGCUCAACCUGGGGACGCCACCUGAUACUGCGAUGACUUGAGUCUGGUAGGGGACCACGGAAUUCCUGGUGUAGCGGUGAAAUGCGCAGAUAUCAGGAGGAACACCGGUGGCGAAGGCGGUGGUCUGGGCCAGUACUGACGAUGAGGAGCGAAAGCGUGGGUAGCAAACAGG